GGGUUGUGAGGUUAAGCGACUAAGCGUACACGGUGGAUGCCCUGGCAGUCAGAGGCGAUGAAGGACGUGCUAAUCUGCGAUAAGCGUCGGUGAGGUGAUAUGAACCGUUAUAACCGGCGAUUUCCGAAUGGGGAAACCCAGUGUGUUUCGACACACUAUCAUUAACUGAAUCCAUAGGUUAAUGAGGCGAACCGGGGGAACUGAAACAUCUAAGUACCCCGAGGAAAAGAAAUCAACCGAGAUUCCCCCAGUAGCGGCGAGCGAACGGGGAGGAGCCCAGAGCCUGAAUCAGUGUGUGUGUUAGUGGAAGCGUCUGGAAAGGCGCGCGAUACAGGGUGACAGCCCCGUACACAAAAAUGCACAUAUUGUGAGCUCGAUGAGUAGGGCGGGACACGUGGUAUCCUGUCUGAAUAUGGGGGGACCAUCCUCCAAGGCUAAAUACUCCUGACUGACCGAUAGUGAACCAGUACCGUGAGGGAAAGGCGAAAAGAACCCCGGCGAGGGGAGUGAAAAAGAACCUGAAACCGUGUACGUACAAGCAGUGGGAGCCUCUUAAUGGGGUGACUGCGUACCUUUUGUAUAAUGGGUCAGCGACUUAUAUUCUGUAGCAAGGUUAACCGAAUAGGGGAGCCGAAGGGAAACCGAGUCUUAACUGGGCGUUAAGUUGCAGGGUAUAGACCCGAAACCCGGUGAUCUAGCCAUGGGCAGGUUGAAGGUUGGGUAACACUAACUGGAGGACCGAACCGACUAAUGUUGAAAAAUUAGCGGAUGACUUGUGGCUGGGGGUGAAAGGCCAAUCAAACCGGGAGAUAGCUGGUUCUCCCCGAAAGCUAUUUAGGUAGCGCCUCGUGAAUUCAUCUCCGGGGGUAGAGCACUGUUUCGGCAAGGGGGUCAUCCCGACUUACCAACCCGAUGCAAACUGCGAAUACCGGAGAAUGUUAUCACGGGAGACACACGGCGGGUGCUAACGUCCGUCGUGAAGAGGGAAACAACCCAGA
rnacentral:rRNA from 1 species